GUGCCUAAGACAUGCAAGUCGCACGAGAAAGCCCGCAAGGGUGAGUACAGUGGCGCACGGGUGAGUAAUAUUUAGGUAACAUGCCUAUUCGCUGUGAAUAACUAGGCGAAAGCUUAGCUAAUACAGAAUGAGCCGGGGAGGACUGCGGUCCAUCUCGGCAAAGCCGUAAGGCGCGAAUAGAGUGGCUUAAAUCCCAUUAGCUAGUUGGUGAGGUAACGGCUCACCAAGGCAUUGAUGGGUAGCUGGUCUGAGAGGACGACCAGCCACACUGGAACUGGAACACGGUCCAGACUCCUACGGGAGGCAGCAGUUAGGAAUUUUGCGCAAUGGGCGAAAGCCUGACGCAGCAACGCCGCGUGAGGGAUGAAGGCCUUCGGGUUGUAAACUUCUUUUAGCUGGAAAGAAAAAAAUGACGGUACCAGCAGAAAAAGCACCGGCUAACCCUGUGCCAGCAGCCGCGGUAAUACAGGGGGUGCAAGCGUUAUUCGGAUUUAUUGGGCGUAAAGAGCGUGUAGGCGGUCUGUUAAGUUUGGUGUGAAAGCCCCGGGCUCAAUCCGGGAAGUGCAUUGAAUACUGGCAGACUAGAGUAUAGGAGAGGUGAGCGGA
rnacentral:rRNA from 1 species